UCUGGUCUUCGGAAGCCUUAAUGAUUCAAGUCAUUACAAUAAACCUCGGGUCAUUAAGGACUGACCUGAGGAACACACACACACACACACACACACACACACACACACACACACAUACACACGAACACACAAUGUCGAGGGGUAUUUAUGGACGUCAAGCCAACAAGCACUUCACAGGCUCUCAAGGUGGUCUCGGGUCAAGAGGUCUCCUGUUCUUGUUUCCCGUAAACAUGAGGACCCCUGUACACCCCUGUAUCAAAUGUUCAUGGUGUAAUAAUUACUUCCCGUUGUCCGCACUCGUAGCUCAUAGGGCGGCCUGCCUUCCAGAGGGCCUUGGGACUGGAUCGAAAGAUAUAUCUACUAGAAACAAUGGUAAGUACUUAAAUGUUUGCGUUACUUUAUAUGAUUGUCAUAAAAAACAGUAGCAGAUGUGGAUGACGGGAGGGAGGUAGAGAGCUGGGCAGCAUGGGCAAUAUCGACUUUAGUCUUUCUAUCUUUUUUCAGAAGAGACGUCGUCGACUAGCUCUGAUCGAUCAGAUGUCGGUUUCUCUCAACCAGACCCCAGCGAUAUUGGAAGUUGUUCUCCACGGGCGGGUCUCAGCGACGAAGCCAGUCAAAACCAAAGGACUAUCUCCGAAGAAGGCGGGUCUGGUAGGCUCAGCCAUUGGCCCUCCUCUUCAACGAUCGGUAGUGGAGGAAAACGAAAACAAGCGAAUACAGGAACAAACGACACCUGCAGGAAAAAGCAAGCCCGUCGUGAGGGAUUCUCCCAUCCAAACAGUUCUCCACAGCCAGGACCCAGCGGUUAUAACCCGGGACGGCCGAC